GCCUGGCUGGCUUAGUUGAUAGAGCAUGAAACUCUUGAUCUCAGGGUUGUGAAUUCAAGCCUCAUGCUGGGUG
rnacentral:tRNA from 1 species